UACAGAGGGGGCAAGCGUUGUUCGGAAUUACUGGGCGUAAAGGGCGCGUAGGCGGCCUUCUAAGUCGAACGUGAAAUCCCCGGGCUCAACCCGGGAACUGCGUCCGAUACUGGAAGGCUUGAAUCCGGGAGAGGGAUGCGGAAUUCCAGGUGUAGCGGUGAAAUGCGUAGAUAUCUGAAGGAACACCGGUGGCGAAGGCGGCAUCCUGGACCGGCAUUGACGCUGAGGCGCGAAAGCUAGGGGAGCAAACGGG
rnacentral:rRNA from 1 species